AUUUAAAAAAACCCUACUUGAAGAAAUAACAAUUACAUCUAUCUAUCAAAAGGAU
rnacentral:tRNA from 1 species